rnacentral:rRNA from 1 species
GACGAACGCUGGCGGCGUGCCUAAUACAUGCAAGUAGGACGCACAGUUUAUACCGUAGCUUGCUACACCAUAGACUGUGAGUUGCGAACGGGUGAGUAACGCGUAGGUAACCUGCCUAUUAGAGGGGGAUAACUAUUGGAAACGAUAGCUAAUACCGCAUAACAGUAUGUAACACAUGUUAGAUGCUUGAAAGAUGCAAUUGCAUCGCUAGUAGAUGGACCUGCGUUGUAUUAGCUAGUAGGUAGGGUAAUGGCCUACCUAGGCGACGAUACAUAGCCGACCUGAGAGGGUGAUCGGCCACACUGGGACUGAGACACGGCCCAGACUCCUACGGGAGGCAGCAGUAGGGAAUCUUCGGCAAUGGGGGGAACCCUGACCGAGCAACGCCGCGUGAGUGAAGAAGGUUUUCGGAUCGUAAAGCUCUGUUGUUAAGGAAGAAACGAGUGUGAGAAUGGAAAAGUUCAUACUGUGACGGAACUAA